rnacentral:rRNA from 1 species
GACGAACGCUGGCGGCGUGCUUAACACAUGCAAGUCGAACGGAAAGGCCCCUUUGGGGGUACUCGAGUGGCGAACGGGUGAGUAACACGUGAGUAACCUGCCCUUGACUUCGGGAUAACUUCAGGAAACUGGGGCUAAUACCGGAUAGGAAUCCUUGCUGCAUGGUGGGGGUUGGAAAGCUUCGGCGGUUUUGGAUGGACUCGCGGCUUAUCAGCUUGUUGGUGGGGUAGUGGCUUACCAAGGCUUUGACGGGUAGCCGGCCUGAGAGGGCGACCGGCCACAUUGGGACUGAGAUACGGCCCAGACUCCUACGGGAGGCAGCAGUGGGGAAUAUUGCACAAUGGGCGGAAGCCUGAUGCAGCAACGCCGCGUGCGGGAUGACGGUCUUCGGGUUGUAAACCGCUUUCAGCAGGGGCGAAGCUUGUGGUGACGGUACCUGCAGAAGAAGCACCGGCUAACUACGUG